UUCCCGUCGAUUUGUGUUUUCUCUCUUUUGUACUUGACCAUCAACCUCUUUUUUGUACUGUGGCUCAAUCAGAUGCUUGUGUUUUCUCUCUUUUUUUCCCCUCAAUUUGUUUGUCUUGGGUUGGGUAUGGGUUUACUGGGUUUACUUUUAAUCUUUGCCAUUACCAAUUUGAUUUGUUUGUAUGGAUAAUACUGAUUUUUUCACAAAAAAAAUCAAGCGGGUUGGUACUUGCAGGAAACAGUGAUUACAUGAUUUAGGGGAUUUAUUUGCGUGAACGUCCUAUAAUUAUUGUAAUUGAAAAAGAAUUACGUCAAUAGAAGUUUUAUCCAAUUAUUUGUUUUUUGGGUGUUGGCUUCCCUUAAAAAAAAAACCAAUGUUCCUCUUCUAUCAUUUAACUCGAACAGACAUUUGCUGUGUGGUGGUGUUUGUCUGUGGCACUUGCUGUGUCUGAUUGGGGUUGCACGAAUCAGUGGAGCACACAUCUCUUGCUUAUAGUAUUAUAAACUUAACAGACUAGCAGUAUUUGGAAUAAUAAAGAAGGAUGCAUAGCAAACUUCUCAGGGAAUUGUUAGGUGAACCUGCCUCAGACUGAAGGUUAUAAAUUGGGGAAAAAAAAUUUCCAGUUUAACAUUUACUCUUGAACUAUUCAUGUAACUGCUAAUCAAGGGGCAUGAAUUAUGAGAGGGGUCCAUAAAAAUUUGUCAUUAUGUUUCUUUUCAAGUAAGUUAACCACAUUAGGCUUUCAAUUUUUAAUGCUGUAAUUUUGCUGAGUUUCAGUAUCAACUUCUGAAAGCUUCGCUGAAUGAAAGUGAUGCAUUUGCAUUUUUUAAGGCUGAUGAGCCUGGUGAUUAUAUAAUAUAUCCGGCUUUCUGUGAAGGACUACGCCUGGCUGCCAGAAUGCAAAGCGUCAAAUGGUGCUGUGAGCUAAAGUGGAAGGAUAGACUUAUCAUGUUGUAAUUUGAUGCAGGAAAAGGAGCCAGGAUAUUGAAUGUGGUACAAGAAAUGCAGGGCUCCUGUGUAAUUGGACAUGCUUGUGCAAUUAAAUUUCUUGCAUCUUUAUUCAUGUAACUUAUGUGAUGCUGUCCUUGUAAGUGAAAUGCUAUAAUGUUUGCACAUCAGUCAUAAUUUGAAGGUAGACUUGCUGAGCA